rnacentral:rRNA from 1 species
AGUGAACGCUGGCGGUAGGCCUAACACAUGCGAGUCGAACGGCAGCACAGUAAGAGCUUGCUCUUACGGGUGGCGAGUGGCGGACGGGUGAGGAAUACAUCGGAAUCUACUUUUUCGUGGGGGAUAACGUAGGGAAACUUACGCUAAUACCGCAUACGACCUACGGGUGAAAGCAGGGGAUCUUCGGACCUUGCGCGGUUGAAUGAGCCGAUGUCGGAUUAGCUAGCUGGCGGGGUAAAGGCCCACCAAGGCGACGAUCCGUAGCUGGUCUGAGAGGAUGAUCAGCCACACUGGAACUGAGACACGGUCCAGACUCCUACGGGAGGCAGCAGUGGGGAAUAUUGGACAAUGGGCGCAAGCCUGAUCCAGCCAUACCGCGUGGGUGAAGAAGGCCUUCGGGUUGUAAAGCCCUUUUGUUGGGAAAGAAAAGCAGCAGGUUAAUACCCCGCUGUUCUGACGGUACCCAAAGAAUAAGCACCGGCUAACUUCGUG